GUCCACGCCCUAAACGAUGUCAACUGGGUGUUGGGGAAGCGAUUCCUUGGUACCGUAGCUAACGCGUGAAGUUGACCGCCUGGGGAGUACGGCCGCAAGGUUAAAACUCAAAGGAAUUGACGGGGACCCGCACAAGCGGUGGAUGAUGUGGAUUAAUUCGAUGCAACGCGAACAACCUUACCUACCCUUGACAUGUCCGAGAGCCCGCUGAGAGGUGGGUGUGCCCGAAAGGGAAUUGGAACACAGGUGCUGCAUGGCUGUCGU
rnacentral:rRNA from 1 species